AAGCUCCAACGGCAUCAAUUGGGGACUUGAUGGUCGCAAAUUAAGUUAACUGGCUACGCGUUAGAUGGUAUUUGCGACCAUCAAAUCCCAAAUUGAUGCCGUGGGAGCUU
rnacentral:sRNA from 1 species